rnacentral:rRNA from 1 species
UCCGAUAUUGGUCUUGGGAAACCACUGGGAACGGUGGCUAAUACCGGAUGUGCCGUAGAGGUGAAAGGCUUGCUGCCUGAAGAUGAGCUCGCGUCUGAUUAGCUAGUUGGUGGGGUAAGAGCCUACCAGGCGACGAUCAGUAGCUGGUCUGAGAGGAUGAUCAGCCACACUGGGACUGAGACACGGCCCAGACUCCUACGGGAGGCAGCAGUGGGGAAUUUUCCGCAAUGGGCGAAAGCCUGACGGAGCAAUACGCGUGAGGGAGGAAGGCUCUUGGGUUGUAAACCUCUUUUCUCAGGGAAGAAAAAAAUGACGGUACCUGAGGAAUAAGCAUCGGCUAACUCCGUGCCAGCAGCCGCGGUAAUACGGAGGAUGCAAGCGUAUCCGGAAUGAUUGGGCGUAAAGCGUCCGCAGGUGGCUGUGAAAGUCUGCUGUCAAAGAGCAAGGCUCAACCUUGUAAAGGCAGUGGAAACUACACGGCUAGAGUGCGUUCGGGGCAGAGGGAAUUCUGGUGUAGCGGUGAAAUGCGUAGAGAUCAGGAAGAACACCGGUGGCGAAAGCGCUCUGCUAGGCCGCAACUGACACUGAGGGACGAAAGCUAGGGGAGCGAAAGGGAUUAGAUACCCUUGUUAGUCGACGAAAUU